rnacentral:lncRNA from 1 species
UCUGGCCUGUUGACACUGUUGUGGAGCUGGGUUACUAAACUUCAUCACUUUCCUACAGAUGCAGACUUUGCUGCAAUGGUGGGAAGUCACAAAGAAACUCCAUUGGUCUCAGUGUGAAGAGUUGGAAGAGAAGAUACAAGACAAUUUCCUUUGAUGUUAAAGUUUUCCGAAGUGACUGCCUCGCUCUUCCCAGUCCCAUCCCCUGUGCCCUGGGAGAAGCACCAUGCUUUGUCCUGCACGGAGACUCCAGGUCAGAGGCCUCUCAGAAGCUUUCUCAGAGCAGCACAGUGGAGGCAAGAUUGCUCUCAGAGGAGCUACCAACCCCACCAGCAGAAACACAGCUCUCCUGCCCCUGCCUAUUUCUCCCAAGUGUCUCUUCUAUGCCAGGCCCGGUCCCAGGAGUGGAGAGAAGAAGAGAGUGAAGAAAACUCCAAGUGGCACAGAACAGAGGUUGGCUAACUGGCCAGCCUGCGUUGGGAAGUAAACAUUACUGGAAUGUAGCUAAGUUCUCUUGCUCUUAUAUCAUCUAUGACUGUUUUUCUUCAAGGGCAGAAUUGUGCAGGUCAGGUCUAUGAAACCUUUCUGUGCUAUCUAACCCUUUAUUAAAAAUACUUUCUGGAGCUGGUCCGUGAUGGUGCAUGCCCUUUAA